rnacentral:rRNA from 1 species
AUUGAACGCUGGCGGCAGGCCUAACACAUGCAAGUCGAGCGGAGCGGCGGACGGGUGAGUAAUGCCUAGGAAUCUGCCUGGUCGUGGGGGAUAACGUCCGGAAACGGGCGCUAAUACCGCAUACUAUCAGAUGAGCCUAGGUCGGAUUGGCUAGUUGGUGGGGUAAAGGCCUACCAAGGCGACGAUCCGUAACUGGUAUGAGAGGAUGAUCAGGCACACUGGAACUGAGACACGGUGCAGACUCCUACGGGAGGAAGCAGUGGAGAAUAUUGGGCAAGGGGCGAGAGCGUGAUACAGCCAUGCGGCGUGUGUGAAGAAGGUCUGCGGAUUGGAAAGCACUUUAAGUUGGGAGGCGUUACCCGCAGAAGAAGCACCGGCUAACUCCGUGCCAGCAGCCGCGGUAAUAC